AUGAAAAGGGCGGGAAAGCAGCCCGCCAACAUCCAGCAGAAAGCCUCGCCAACCGAUCUCUCUCCUCCUCCCCCGCUGUCUCCACAUCCGAUCCGAGGCGAGGCGGCGAUGCAGAUCCAGGUCCGGUGCGGGUGCGGCGAGGCGGCGUGCCCGGAGUGGGCGGUGGUGGAGGUGCAGGGCGUGCUGCAGCCGCAGCCUUGCUUCUCCGGCCGCAUCCAGGGCCUCCACAUCGGCCGCCUCUGCUCCACCUCCUCCGCCCCGACUUCCAAGGGCGGGUACACCUUCACCGUGGGGUACCAUGAGCUCGCCGGCUCGAAGGUGACUCUCAAGAAGCCCCUGCUUGUGCUGAGGAAGAAGAAGAACGACAAGGGAGAUGCCGGCGAGCUCGGCCAAGGUGGACAGGCGGCGGCGGAGGUGGAGCUGGAGGUGAUCGGCAUCAUCCGGCACAAGAUCCUCUUCAAGGACCGCCCCAAGGCCCUCAUCUCAAAGCCGGUGCCCAAGGAGAAGAAGGCCCUGCCUGCAGCGGCGACCCCAUCAACCGUGCCUCCCGCUUCCUGA
rnacentral:rRNA from 1 species